rnacentral:rRNA from 1 species
GAUGAACGCUGGCGGCGUGCCUAAUACAUGCAAGUCGAGCGAACAGACGAGGAGCUUGCUCCUCUGACGUUAGCGGCGGACGGGUGAGUAACACGUGGAUAACCUACCUAUAAGACUGGGAUAACUUCGGGAAACCGGAGCUAAUACCGGAUAAUAUAUUGAACCGCAUGGUUCAAUAGUUAAAGACGGUUUUGCUGUCACUUAUAGAUGGAUCCGCGCCGCAUUAGCUAGUUGGUAAGGUAACGGCUUACCAAGGCAACGAUGCGUAGCCGACCUGAGAGGGUGAUCGGCCACACUGGAACUGAGACACGGUCCAGACUCCUACGGGAGGCAGCAGUAGGGAAUCUUACGCAAUGGGCGAAAGCCUGACGGAGCAACGCCGCGUGAGUGAUGACGGUCUUCGGAUCGUAAAACUCUGUUAUUAGGGAAGAACAAAUGUGUAAGUAACUAUGCACGUCUUGACGGUACCUAAUCAGAAAGCCCCGGCUAACUACGUG